rnacentral:lncRNA from 1 species
GAGCCGUUAGAGAAAAUGGACAAGAAGUCCCAAUUACAUACAGACAAAAAAAACCUGGAGAGAAUUAAUAUAUUUUAUGGGAAAAUGAAAAUGAGAAUAAUGGUCGUAGUAUGAACGUAGUCAGGUCGUGAGAAGAGCGUAAUGAGGACGGCAAGGGCAUGCUAGAAUCGUACUAUGGUCGUGAACAGCGUGGUAUAGUCGUAGUGGAAGCGUAGUUUGGUCGCGGUGAGAACGUGAUGAUCGUAGUGAGGUCGUAAUAACGUCGCAGUGAGAUCGUAGCGCAGUUUCUCCGAAUAGAAUCGCGCUUUCGCUACGCUCUCACUACGAUGGUACAGCGACCUUUGCGAUCUUACUACGAUCUUAGUGCGCUCUCACUACGCUUCUACUACGACCUGAUUUGGCCACGAUCUCACCACGAUUGUUUUGAACAUGUUCAAAGUUGGCCACGCUCAUCGCGAUCUUGAAGACCUCACCACGACCAUGAUACGACCUUACUGAGAU